UAAAACACAAAAAGCUAUUUCUUCCAUAAAGAUAAAACGUAUACUGGGUUAUUUACAGUUCACAUGGAUAUUUUUAAACCCAACAAUUACAGACUUUGAUUAAUGAUUAUCUUUGGUUACAAUACUGCAGGGAACGGAGGUAAAUAAGCCAAAAUGUGAUGUCAAGCAAUCAGCCACCAAGGCCUUCUCUUCAGAUAGAAAUGACAAGGUCUAUUCCAGGUAUGUUCACUAAGGGAAAAGGGAAGAGGCGUUUUCCUUCAGUGAAUCUUAUUCCUGCUAAAAGGCCUAAACCACUGGAAGUUGCUUUCCACCUUUUGCCAAAACAAUAUGAAAAAUCACCAAAAGAACAAGACCAAAUGGUCCACUGCAGGCCGGAGUGGGCCGCAGGUCUGUUCAUCUAGAUGAGAGUACAACACAUGAUGAGGAGGAGGGGGUUCCCGAAAGCUUUCCAUGGUGGCACCGGAUCAUACUGGCUACACAGGCAACAUAAAGGCUGCAAGCCGGGGGGAAUCUCCACUUUACCUCCAAUUAAAGACAAACUCAAAACAACUCCUUUGCAACUAAGUAAUGAAGUAUUCAGUUGCAUGCCUAAGGCAAAGUGCCAAAGGUGUGGAGCAGCCAUUCCACAGCAGCUCCUGAUGGAGCACUUGAAGUCUUGCAACAUCAUUGAUGUUGACAAUGAUGAAGACAACCUGGUUAAUGGGAAGGAUAAGAGUGAGCAGGCACCAGUUCAGAGCCCCUAUCCCAUCUUCAUAAAAAUGUUUCCCGUUGACUUCAUUGAAGUACAUGCUGCAAUAUAGAGUGGUUCACAGUACAAACCCUACCAAAGGCGUGUCUCUGUUUUUGGGAUUUAUUCUUAGCCAUCAUGAAGUAAGAAUCCCUGACUUCUCAG